rfam:Triticum aestivum genome assembly, contig: Triticum_aestivum_CS42_TGACv1_scaffold_580716_7BL
AAAUUACUCCCUCCGUCCCAAAAUUCUUGUCUUAGAUUUGCCUAAAUACGGAUGUAUCAAGUCAUGUUUUAGUAUUAGAUACAUCCAUAUCUUGGUGAAUCUAAGACAAGAAUUUUGGACGGAGGAAGUACUUU